AGGCCAGACUCCUACGGGAGGCAGCAGUGGGGGAUAUUGCACAAUGGGGGGAACCCUGAUGCAGCGACGCCGCGUGGGUGAAGAAGCGCCUCGGCGCGUAAAGCCCUGUCAGCAGGGAAGAAAAUGACGGUACCUGACUAAGAAGCCCCGGCUAACUACGUGCCAGCAGCCGCGGUAAUACGUAGGGGGCAAGCGUUAUCCGGAUUUACUGGGUGUAAAGGGGGCGCAGACGGCAGCGCAAGCCAGGAGUGAAAGCCCGGGGCCCAACCCCGGGACUGCUCUUGGAACUGCGCGGCUGGAGUGCAGGAGGGGCAGGCGGAAUUCCUGGUGUAGCGGUGAAAUGCGUAGAUAUCAGGAGGAACACCGGCGGCGAGGGCGGCCUGCUGGACCGCGACUGACGUUGAGGCUCGAAAGCGUGGGGAGCAAACAGGAUUAGAUCCCGUGUAA
rnacentral:rRNA from 1 species